CAGAGUCACGUGUGGUUGCUCCGAGUCACGUGUGAUUGCUCAGAGUCACGUGUGGUUGCUCUGAGUCACGUGUGGUUGCUCUGAGUCACGUGUGAGUUCAGUUGCUUGCGGUUGAAGUUGCUGGCAACUUUGUGUUCCCCAGUGUCGCCUCAACGAGUCGCCCUGGGCACAGCAGAGACACGGAGAAGGAUCGGUCCUUUGAAGUCACUAAACAUCAACAAAUCAGCAGACACAAUAAACCCCAAGGAGUUUCACAAUGGGCGUGUCGGGGAGAUGAAGGAGCUGCAAAGCCUUGGUAAGUGGGUUGGUGAGUGGGUUGGUGAG